rnacentral:tRNA from 1 species
UCCCUGGUGGCUCAGAUGGUAAAGAAUCUGCCUGCAAUGCAGGAGACCUGGGUUCAAUCCCCGGCUUGGGAA